AACGAACGCUGGCGGCAGGCUUAACACAUGCAAGUCGAACGCCCCGCAAGGGGAGUGGCAGACGGGUGAGUAACGCGUGGGAACAUACCCUUUUCUGCGGAAUAGUUCUGGGAAACUGGAAUUAAUACCGCAUACGCCCUACGGGGGAAAGAUUUAUCGGGAAAGGAUUGGCCCGCGUUGGAUUAGCUAGUUGGUGGGGUAAAGGCCUACCAAGGCGACGAUCCAUAGCUGGUCUGAGAGGAUGAUCAGCCACAUUGGGACUGAGACACGGCCCAAACUCCUACGGGAGGCAGCAGUGGGGAAUAUUGGACAAUGGGCGCAAGCCUGAUCCAGCCAUGCCGCGUGAGUGAUGAAGGCCUUAGGGUUGUAAAGCUCUUUCACCGGUGAAGAUAAUGACGGUAACCGGAGAAGAAGCCCCGGCUAACUUCGUGCCAGCCGCCGCAGUAAGAC
rnacentral:rRNA from 1 species